GCAGCUUGAAUUCCCUGAAUCGGUUGUUGACCUGUCAUUCCAACUGGGUACAUUGUAGCUUGAGAAGCUUGUUGUGAUAGUUGAGGAGGGCGGACCUGCGUUGGGAUAUAUGUUGGAAGCUGACUCCGAGGCUGUGCUUGCAUUUCAGGAACUUGUUGGGAAGGAAACCCCUGGGGUUGAGCCUGAUUAUGAGACUGUUGGACUGACAGUUUUUGCUGUUGUUGUUCAUAUGAUAUCAGCUCCUCCGGCUUUUCCCACCUGCUUUCUCCAGUAGUACUGCUGUAAUAGUACUUGAAUCCAUCAGGAGAUGUGUGCUCUGUCCAAUUACAUUUCACCAGACUUGUAGUCUGGUUCAUUCCAGAUGUAGCAGGAAGUGCAUCUGCUUUUGGUUGGACAGCAGUGGCACUAGGUGCAGGUUGUUGAACAAGCCCAGGCCAUGCAGACUGUUGUUUAGCAUCUUGUGUGCCCUGCUGGACUGCUGAGUUUUGGCUAGAUGGUUGCAUGAGCUGCAAUUGUUGCUGAAGCUGAGUAAAGGUUUGCUGCGAUGAUUGAAAACUCGCCUGCAGAGUUUGGGUCUGUUGAGACAACAUCUGUGCUAGUUGCGAAGGUGGCUGUUGAAGAUGUUGGACCGACUGCUGCUGGAAAGGCUGCUGGUUUGCAUUUGCAGAUGCAGCAUGUAUUUGCAUGUUGUUACUUAAGGGUGUAUGUCCAAUGACAGGUGUCAUAUUGCGCUGCACCUGGGGCUGAGAAACAGUUGAUUGCCCAGUCAAACCAAGUGACUGCUGCGACAGCGCUCCCUGACGGAAAGGACUUUGACCAGCAGAGUGGGACAUUUGUACUUGAUUUCUCUGCCCAAACAAAGCAUUUGAUGUUGGUCCCUGUGACAUAGGUGUUGAUGCUGGAGGCUGAAACUGCACGGAAGAUGGUAUAUGCUGUGGUGACUGAAGUGGCUUUUGUAGUGAAGAAAUUUGUUGGCCAACAGUGGGGAAUUGUUGAGCAGACAGUUGCGGUGUAGGAGCAGAAGAAGCUGCAAUUCCUGUAAGCAUCCCAUUUCCAGUGCCAUUAACACUCCUGAA
rnacentral:misc_RNA from 1 species